rnacentral:rRNA from 1 species
AGGAGGCUCUUGGGUCGUAAACUCCUUUUCUCAGGGAAGAAAAAAUGACGGUACCUGAGGAAUAAGCAUCGGCUAACUCCGUGCCAGCAGCCGCGGUAAUACGGAGGAUGCAAGCGUUAUCCGGAAUGAUUGGGCGUAAAGCGUCCGCAGGUGGCAUUGUAAGUCUGCUGUUAAAGCGUCUGGCUCAACCAGAUAAGGGCAGUGGAAACUACACAGCUAGAGUACGUUCGGGGCAGAGGGAAUUCCUGGUGUAGCGGUGAAAUGCGUAGAGAUCAAGAAGAACACCAGCGGCGAAAGCGCUCUGCUAGGCCGUAACUGACACUGAGGGACGAAAGCUAGGGGAGCGAAUGGGAUUAGAUA